ensembl:antisense_RNA Y57G11C.1132 ncRNA
AUAGCCCUAUUCCCUACCGUUCCUCCGAGGCCCAACUUCUCCUUUCGCCAAUUCUAUAGACAGUCCCUUACUUCCCUUUCCCUUAUUCUAUUUAAUAAAUAUUUGGUUGGAACAACUGAGUAGUUAUUAUCUUCCUUGUCCUCCUACCGUCAGGAGUACCCGUUUUGCCUGUGAUUGACGCGCACUGUAGAACCGAUUCUCAAUAUUUUAUAACCUUUUCAAGGGAAACUGAUUUUAUUUGUUUUGCAUAGUUGAAACAACUGUCAAAACUGAAUUGAUUCUCAAACACUCACAAGCACAAUCCAGAAUCAGAAGUGUAUAUGCUGGAACAAACCAUCUCCACUGCUUCCCACAUAACUUCACAAUUUCCCAUAAAUGUUCGGAUAAUGGGAGUCGGUUUUCUUCUUCAUCGUCAUUUUUAUCCACGAUUUCCCCGGCAGCGCCUGUAUUUAUAUUUAUUAAAUCUGAAAAAGGCACUGAUUUUGAACAACUGAUUCGCAUAU